rnacentral:rRNA from 1 species
AGUGAACGUUGGCGGCGUGGAUUAGGCAUGCAAGUCGAGCGAUCGUAGCAAUACGGGAGCGGCAAACGGGGGUAGGAAUACAUCGGAACGUACCUUUUGGUUGAGAAUAGCGUUGGGAAACUGACGGUAAUACUCAAUAAAGUCGAGAGACCAAAGGUUUACUGCCGGAAGAGCGGCCGAUGCGAUAUUAGGUAGUUGGUGGGGUAAUGGCCUACCAAGCCUGAGAUGUCUAGGGGGUGUGAGAGCAUGGCCCCCACCACUGGGACUGAGAUACUGCCCAGACACCUACGGGUGGCUGCAGUCGAGGAUCUUCGUCAAUGGGCGAAAGCCUGAACGAGCGACGCCGCGUGCGGGAUGAAGGCCCUUGGGUUGUAAACCGCUGUCAGGGGGGAUGAAACCGUAAGGUUGACAGAGCCCCAGAGGAAGCACGGGCUAAGUUCGUGCCAGCAGCCGCGGUAAU